AGGUGAGACUGAAAAUAACAGCACAGUGAGACGCGUGGCAGAGAUCCAGGACAGCGAGGUGUGGUCACGCUUGCUACUGCCUGUGUCUUGCCCGCGCUGAGGUGCUGCCAAGGACGGUGAGUAGCGUGGGAAGAGUGAUGAGGUGGGCGGCGUCAUGGUGAAGGAAAGGAAGGAAGGAAGGAAGGAGAGAAUGAAGGGAUGAAGGAACGCUGCUCGUGCCACUCCUCGCGUCCCUCGCCAGCCAAACAACACAAAGACGAGGGAGAGGACAGGACAGGGAAGCAAAUUGACUCAAGUAACAGAGGAGGAAGUUUAAGCCACCUGAG